rnacentral:rRNA from 1 species
UACGGGGGGGGCAAGCGUUGUUCGGAAUUACUGGGCGUAAAGGGCUCGUAGGCGGCCAACUAAGUCAGACGUGAAAUCCCCAGGCUCAACCUGGGAACUGCGUCUGAUACUGGAUGGCUUGAAUCCGGGAGAGGGAUGCAGAAUUCCAGGUGUAGCGGUGAAAUGCGUAGAUAUCUGGAGGAAUACCGGUGGCGAAGGCGGCAUCCUGGACCGGUAUUGACGCUGAUGCGCGAAAGCCAGGGGAGCAAACGGG